rnacentral:rRNA from 1 species
UACGGAGGGGGCUAGCGUUAUUCGGAAUUACUGGGCGUAAAGCGCACGUAGGCGGACUGGAAAGUUGGGGGGUGAAAGCCCCAGGGCUCAACCCUGGAACUGCCUUCAAAACUCCCAGUCUUAGGUCAAGAGAGGUAAUGGAAAUUCCGAGUGUAGAGGUGAAAAUUCGUAGAUAUUCGGAAGAACACCAGUGGCGAAGGCGACUUACUGGACACAUAUUGACGCUGAGGUGCGAAAGCGUGGGGAGCAAACAGG